rnacentral:rRNA from 2 species
GCUAACGUCCGUCGUGAAGAGGGAAACAACCCAGACCGCCAGCUAAGGUCCCAAAGUCAUGGUUAAGUGGGAAACGAUGUGGGAAGGCCCAGACAGCCAGGAUGUUGGCUUAGAAGCAGCCAUCAUUUAAAGAAAGCGUAAUAGCUCACUGGUCGAGUCGGCCUGCGCGGAAGAUGUAACGGGGCUAAACCAUGCACCGAAGCUGCGGCAGCGAACGUAUCACUUAAAGCGAUUCAGCGGAUGACGAUUGACGGAGCGAAGCGACGUCAAAGCGUAUACAAAGUCGAGUCGGUUUAAGGAUACGUUCGUUGGGUAGGGGAGCGUUCUGUAAGCCUGCGAAGGUGGCCUGUGAGGGUUGCUGGAGGUAUCAGAAGUGCGAAUGCUGACAUAAGUAACGAUAAAGCGGGUGAAAAGCCCGCUCGCCGGAAGACCAAGGGUUCCUGUCCAACGUUAAUCGGGGCAGGGUGAGUCGACCCCUAAGGCGAGGCCGAAAGGCGUAGUCGAUGGGAAACGGGUUAAUAUUCCCGUACUUGGUGUUACUGCGAAGGGGGGACGGAGAAGGCUAUGUUGGCCGGGCGACGGUUGU